rnacentral:rRNA from 2 species
AAUACGACUCUCGGCAACGGAUAUCUCGGCUCUCGCAUCGAUGAAGAACGUAGCGAAAUGCGAUACUUGGUGUGAAUUGCAGAAUCCCGUGAACCAUCGAGUCUUUGAACGCAAGUUGCGCCCCAAGCCUUUAGGCCGAGGGCACGUCUGCCUGGGUGUCACGC